UAAGAGUUCAACGAGUCAACAUCUGAGGAAUAAACUCAACCGCUGCCAUGUGCUCAGUCAGUGUCGCAUCAGUUCAAGAUCUGAUCCAGUCACUAUCUGUGCAUGUCAUAAAGAGGGAAGACUGUUGUAUGCGCCCAGCUCAAAAACUAAACAUUUGUGUGACCUCUCAGUGAGUGUUAUCGGGAAACGAAACACUUCAAAAUGAAGGAGCAAGCCCUGAUUCAUCCUUGAAUGACUUACUAUGUUGGUAUGUCUGGCGGUUUGUGAAAGUGGUGUGGUGGUGAAAAUGUUUUUUGGCGACAGAAAUAUGAGCGUGAGUGGGGAAAAAUAGGAGUGUGUGUGUGUGCGUGUGCGUGUGCGUGUGUGUGCGAUGGCAAACAGCGUGAGGGUGAGUCAUCUGGGUGUGUGUGCCCUGGGCGGGAGCUCUUGACCUUCAUCUCACGAGGAACAAUCCCCAGCAGCACCAGCAGCCACAGCAGCAGCUAUUGGGCACUGCCCACCCACAUGCACCACACAACUGGGCAUCACACAAAAGGACUACACACAAUGGGGGGGGGGUGUCCAAUGAGAUGAAUAAAAAGGAUGCAUGGAGCUGGAAGGAUGGAGAAGAGGAACGGAUAGACAGACUUGCCGACAUGCCGGAGAAAAGUGGCUUUGACUCUCUCUUGCCUUGUGUUUAAAUUUGUGUAACUGACUCAGACAGUGAGACAACGGUUUGAAAAAGUAGUGCUUAACAUCCCUGUACCUCUCACAAACACACACAUACACACACUUUCUCUCUCUCUCUCUCUCUCUCUCUCUCUUUUUUUCAAACAAUUCUGUUAAUUUAAAGCACAGGACCUUCAAA